rnacentral:rRNA from 1 species
UGGGGAAUAUUGGACAAUGGGCGAAAGCCUGAUCCAGCCAUGCCGCGUGGGUGAAGAAGGUCUUCGGAUUGUAAAGCACUGUAAGUUGGGAGGAAGGGCAGUAAGCGAAUACCUUGCUGUUUUGACGUUACCGACAGAAUAAGCACCGGCUAACUCUGUGCCAGCAGCCGAGGUAAUACAGAGGGUGCAAGCGUUAAUCGGAAUUACUGGGCGUAAAGCGCGCGUAGGUGGUUCGUUAAGUUGAAUGUGAAAGCCCCGGGCUCAACCUGGGAACUGCAUCCAAAACUGGCGAGCUAGAGUAGGGCAGAGGGUGGUGGAAUUUCCUGUGUAGCGGUGAAAUGCGUAGAUAUAGGAAGGAACACCAGUGGCGAAGGCGACCACCUGGGCUCAUACUGCCACUGAGGUGCGAAAGCGUGGGGAGCAAACAGG